CAUCCCACUAUAUUGUUCGCCAGAGUACUACAAGCGCUAGCUUAAAACCCAAAGGACUUGGCGGUAUCCCAUACCCACCUAGAGGAGCCUGUUCUAUAACCGAUAAUCCCCGUUCAACCUCACCACUUCUUGCCAUUACCGUCUAUAUACCGCCGUCGUCAGCCCACCCUGUGAAGGACUAAAAGUAAGCAAAAAGAAUAAAACUCCAAAACGUCAGGUCGAGGUGUAGCAAAUGAAGUGGGAAGAAAUGGGCUACAUUUUUUUUCAAAAACAUACGAAUGGUAAACUGAAAACAUACCUAAAGGUGGAUUUAGCAGUAAGAGGAGAUCAGAAUACUCCCCUGAAAUCGGCUCUGGGAUAAGCACACACCGCCCGUCACUCUCCUCAAAAACAACCUAUCCUUUUUCAUAAACACAUCUCUUUAAUAAGAGGAGGCAAGUCGUAACAUGGUAAGUGUACUGGAAAGUGCACUUGGAAUC
rnacentral:rRNA from 1 species